rnacentral:rRNA from 1 species
CCUACGGGAGGCAGCAGUGAGGAAUAUUGGUCAAUGGACGAGAGUCUGAACCAGCCAAGUAGCGUGAAGGAUGACUGCCCUAUGGGUUGUAAACUUCUUUUAUAUGGGAAUAAAACGUUCCCCGUGUGGGAUUUUGUAUGUACCAUAUGAAUAAGGAUCGGCUAACUCCGUGCCAGCAGCCGCGGUAAUACGGAGGAUCCGAGCGUUAUCCGGAUUUAUUGGGUUUAAAGGGAGCGUAGGUGGAUUGUUAAGUCAGUUGUGAAAGUUUGCGGCUCAACCGUAAAAUUGCAGUUGAAACUGGCAGUCUUGAGUACAGUAGAGGUGGGCGGAAUUCGUGGUGUAGCGGUGAAAUGCUUAGAUAUCACGAAGAACUCCGAUUGCGAAGGCAGUUCACUGGACUGCAACUGACACUGAGGCUCGAAAGUGUGGGUAUCAAACAGGAUUAGAUACCCGAGUAGUC